CAGUCGCCGCGGGAAUACGAAGGGGGCUAGCGUUGUUCGGAUUUACUGGGCGUAAAGCGCACGUAGGCGGACUUUUAAGUCAGGGGUGAAAUCCCGGGGCUCAACCCCGGAACUGCCUUUGAUACUGGAAGUCUUGAGUAUGGUAGAGGUGAGUGGAAUUCCGAGUGUAGAGGUGAAAUUCGUAGAUAUUCGGAGGAACACCAGUGGCGAAGGCGGCUCACUGGACCAUUACUGACGCUGAGGUGCGAAAGCGUGGGGAGCAAACAGGAUUAGAGACCCCGGUAGUCCCUGUCUCUUAUAC
rnacentral:rRNA from 1 species